rnacentral:rRNA from 1 species
AUUGAACGCUGGCGGCAGGCCUAACACAUGCAAGUCGAGCGGAUGAAGGGAGCUUGCUCCUGGAUUCAGCGGCGGACGGGUGAGUAAUGCCUAGGAAUCUGCCUGGUAGUGGGGGAUAACGUCCGGAAACGGGCGCUAAUACCGCAUACGUCCUGAGGGAGAAAGUGGGGGAUCUUCGGACCUCACGCUAUCAGAUGAGCCUAGGUCGGAUUAGCUAGUUGGUGGGGUAAAGGCCUACCAAGGCGACGAUCCGUAACUGGUCUGAGAGGAUGAUCAGUCACACUGGAACUGAGACACGGUCCAGACUCCUACGGGAGGCAGCAGUGGGGAAUAUUCGGCAAUGGGCGAAAGCCUGAUCCAGCCAUGCCGCGUGUGUGAAGAAGGUCUUCGGAUUGUAAAGCACUUUAAGUUGGGAGGAAGGGCAGUAAGUUAAUACCUUGCUGUUUUGACGUUACCAACAGAAUAAGCACCGGCUAACUUCGUG